AGAGAGAAGACUCUCCUUCAGCCAUUCAGAGUAUCCCUAGAGGGGACCACUGGCAGCUGCCUGAGAGGAGGGGAGCAGCCCUUCCAAAAAAUCUUCACUUUCAUUCCUUCUUUUUUACCGACGGCAUUAGAGGACUCCAAGGCCAUCUCCUCCAACCUCGAGACCACAGCAUGGCCUAGGUGUUGACUGUGAUGAACAGAGAGCAAACACCUCCAGAUUAACACCCAAGAUAAUCCAGUGUGUUGGCCAUGUUAAAUCUUGCCCCGUGACCUCUCUCUGAGCCUUUGUCUGCCUGGGUGCCAAGCCGCAGUUCCUGUUUUUAUUUGUAAGCCGCCUUCAAGGAAAAAGGUGGAGUAUAAAUACAUAUAACAACAACAACAGUUUUUAAAAAUGAAUCACAUCCACAGGAAUAGGCUGUGUCCUUAAAAUAUAUACAUCUCAGAUGUCACAGGCCAUGGUAAAGAGGUGUGUUUUCAUAAUUUGUGGAAAGCUGUAUAGUGAAGGCGCCAUACACACCUCUGCGGGGUGGAAAUUCUACAAUUUAGGGGCUGCCAAAGACAACGCCCUUGCCAUGGCCCAGGCUACCCACUCCCCCAACUUCUGAGGGGGGCCAAACAAUCAAGAAGGCCCCUUCCACUGAUCUUAACACCCAAAAGGGCUUGCAGAGAAGGAGGCAAUCAGCACAAUUAAAAGUGAAUGAAAGGUGUUUUCUCUACAUUUUACUCAGAGUAGACCCACCAAGAUUAAUGGACUUAUGUUAGCCAUGUCAUGAAUACAUCCCUAAGGUCUUUGGUGCAAGAAAGUCACUUGAAACAGCUCACCCUGGCCGCAAAAUGGUCUUAUUGCAGUUUGGGAAAUGAUGUGAAAAUGCACUGAAAACUGUGGGGUCAAGGAAUGACUAACAGGAACACCCCAUACACAAAUCAGGAUGAAUGCUUAUUGCCAUAUACAACCUUCAUAUAAACAAAUCUGAACAAAUGCUCAGCAAAGACCAGGCAUCAUCUAACCACUGCGUAAACGUCACGCAGGCAGAACAGGAUGAAUAAACUGGUUGUUUGGGCUUCAGCCACAAUAAGCACAAAUGGGGGGAAUAUAGCAAGGAAAGAGGGAGAUUCCUAAAAGCAUAACAAAUGCUUGCUUGGAUUUUUCCAGGUUCUUUUCUUUUAUGUCUUUCCAUCCCUCUCCACAGGUUCAGAGGAGGCAAGCUCACGGGUAAGGUCUGAAUCCUGCCAAGCUGCCCAAACAAGCAGUCAUUUUCCUGGGUCAGACAUUGAUCAUCUGUUGCUGAACCACCCAGCAGGGCUGGCAGAGAACAGAGAGGCCACAGAUGUUUCCCUCUGGAUGGCUCCGAGUGAAAGGAAAGAUGGUUAAGAAAUCUGAGCAGAAGCCAAGCCCACAGAGGCGAGAGCUAUCUAGGGUCAAAGCACUCUCCGGAGUUGGCCAGCUUCACCCAAGAGAAGUGGAACAACACAGAUGUGAUCAAACAAGACCCACACACAAGAACAUGGCUAGUCAUGCUGGAUCAGGCACCAUCUCGUACUUUUGACAGCUUGGGGGAGGCUCUCCCCCCCCCAAGAAGCAGCCUGGGAGCGGGGGGCAACAGCACAUGGCCCGCCUGCAACUCCCAAGCCUCCCCUGAGCUUCAAAAUGAAGGGGGAAGGGGGGAAGACAGGCAGCAAGGUGGCACAGCUCCAUUCCUUCCCCCAAUGGCUUG